rnacentral:rRNA from 1 species
GCAGUCUACGUUGAUGCGGCACCCCUAAUAAGGUGUGGCAUUGUAACGUAUAGACUUGUCAUCGAGACAUUUGGCUGAACUAAAGUCGUUAAGAGUGACGCACCAUAGAGGGUUGUAGUCCCGUGCAUGGUUUGGUUUCAGAUGUUAAGAAUGGCAAAGUCAAAGAGUCGGAUUGUUUGGGAAUGCAAUCCAAAGUAGGUGGUAAACUCCAUCUAAGGCUAAAUAUAACUCCGAGACCGAUAGCAAACAAGUACCGUGAGGGAAAGGUGAAAAGAACUCUGAGAAGAGAUUGAAAAGAACGUGAAACCGUUAAUGGGGAAGCGUACAAUGUAAUCGUAGCACUGUGAUAUUUGUGUUGGACAGUUUCGACUGUUUGGUGCUUAAUUUUACGGUGCGCGCUAGGCUCUAUGCUAAUGUUGUUGUCAGCGUGUUUAGUGGUUCAUCAACGGCUAUUCCUUGAGGAAUGGCUAGGUGGCUGUGAGCACGUGCUGUUAUAGAAUAACGCGGCAUAGAUGUAUGUGCUUGUGUGUUGUGCUGUGUAGGCGUAAAGUUGGCAUUGGUCACCAUGUGUUUGAUGUUGAUGUAGCGUUUAUGCAGUGUGAUACCACGAUGAUCGUCGCACAUAAACUCUUAGCGAGAUAUGACAUUGUUCGACCCUUCCUUGAAACAAAGUGGAAACACAU